GACGAACGCUGGCGGCGUGCUUAACACAUGCAAGUCGAACGGAAAGGCCCUGCUUUUGUGGGGUGCUCGAGUGGCGAACGGGUGAGUAACACGUGAGUAACCUGCCCUUGACUUUGGGAUAAGUUCAGGAAACUGGGGGUAAUACCGGAUAGGAGCUCCUGCUGCAUGGUGGGGGUUGGAAAGUUUCGGCGGUUGGGGAUGGACUCGCGGCUUAUCAGCUUGUUGGUGGGGUAGUGGCUUACCAAGGCUUUGACGGGUAGCCGGCCUGAGAGGGUGACCGGCCACAUUGGGACUGAGAUACGGCCCAGACUCCUACGGGAGGCAGCAGUGGGGAAUAUUGCACAAUGGGCGGAAGCCUGAUGCAGCAACGCCGCGUGCGGGAUGACGGCCUUCGGGUUGUAAACCGCUUUCGCCUGUGACGAAGCGUGAGUGACGGUAAUGGGUAAAGAAGCACCGGCUAACUACGUG
rnacentral:rRNA from 1 species